rnacentral:rRNA from 1 species
UACGUAGGGUGCGAGCGUUAAUCGGAAUUACUGGGCGUAAAGCGUGCGCAGGCGGUUUUGCAAGUCAGAUGUGAAAUCCCCGGGCUUAACCUGGGAAUGGCAUUUGGGACUGCAAGGCUUGAGUGCGGCAGAGGAGACUGGAAUUCCCGGUGUAGCAGUGAAAUGCGCAGAUAUCGGGAAGAACACCCGUGGCGAAGGCGGUUCUCUGGGACGGUACUGACGCUGAGACGCGAAAGCGUGGGGAGCGAACCGG